rnacentral:rRNA from 1 species
GACGAACGCUGGCGGCGUGCCUAAUGCAUGCAAGUCGAGCGGGCUACAGUCUUCGGAUUGUAGCUUAGCGGCGAACGGGUGAGUAACACGUAGGUAAUCUACCCUUCAGAGGAGGACAACCUCAGGAAACUGAGGCUAAACCUCCAUACGUUCAUAUGCAGGGAUGCAGAUGAAGAAAGAGUUACCCGUGAGGGUAGCUGCUGAAGGAUGAGCCUGCGGCCCAUCAGGUAGUCGGUGAGGUAACGGCUCACCAAGCCGAAGACGGGUAACCGGUCUGAGAGGAUGUCCGGUCACACUGGGACUGAGACACGGCCCAGACUCCUACGGGAGGCAGCAGCAGGGAAUCUUGGGCAAUGGGCGAAAGCCUGACCCAGCGACGCCGCGUGGAGGAAGAAGUCCUUCGGGGCGUAAACUCCUGGACUGGGGGACGAGGAAGGACGGUACCCCAGUAGAAAAGGACGGCUAACUACGUGCCAGCAGCCGCGGUAAAACGUAGGUCCCGAGCGUUGUUCGGAUUCACUGGGUGUAAAGGGCGCGUAGGUGGUUGUCUGUGUCUCAUGUGAAAACUCAGGGCUCAACUCUGAGAUUGCGUGGGAAACUAGGCAGCUAGAGGACGGUAGAGGGGAGUGGAAUUCCCGGUGUAGCGGUAAAAUGCGUAGAUAUCGGGAGGAACACCGGUGGCGAAGGCGGCUCUCUGGGCCGAUCCUGACGCUGAGGCGCGAAAGCUAGGGGAGCGAACCGGAUUAGAUACCCGGGUAGUCCUAGCCGUAAACGAUGGGUGCUAGGUGUUGGGGGGUAAAGACCCUUCAGUGCCGAAGCAAACGCGAUAAGCAUCCCACCUGGGGAGUACGGCCGCAAGGUUG